AUGAACGGAGUCAAACAACAACAACCGUUGAGUAAGACAUGCAAUUUGUUUUGCGCGAAACAACAACAAUCUAUUAAAUUUCAGCAGUACAAGAACCCGUGUGAAAAAUGGACAUUACAGAAAGGUCUCCAGCUCAACGGCACCACCUGCACAACACCCCCAGGAGCUUCGCAACAACGAGCCUCGCUGCAGAGUCAAGAGACAAAACUUCACUGCACCAGUGCCUUCCCCGGCUUCUGCACCACCCAGCAGGACGAUUUCCACGCCGUAAACUUCACUGCACCCGUGCUUCGGACCUGCGUGGUAACAUUUUAA
rnacentral:rRNA from 1 species